AGCAGCCGCGGUAAUUCCAGCUCCAAUAGCGUAUAUUAAAGUUGUUGCAGUUAAAAAGCUCGUAGUUGAAUUUCGGGAUUGACACAUCGGUCGUGCCUUAAGGGGUAUGAACUGGUGUAGUCAAUUUCUCACCUUCUGGAGAACCGCGAUGCCCUUAAUUGGGUGUCGCGGGGAACCAGGACCUUUACUUUGAAAAAUUAGAGUGUUUAAAGCAGGCAUUUUGCUUGAAUACAUUAGCAUGGAAUAAUAAAAUAGGACGGCAUGAUUCUAUUUUGUUGGUUUCUAGGAUCACCGUAAUGAUUAAUAGGGAUAGUUGGGGGCAUUAGUAUUCAAUUGUCAGAGGUGAAAUUCUUGGAUUUAUUGAAGACUAACUACUGCGAAAGCAUUUGCCAAGGAUGUUUUCAUUAAUCAAGAACGAAAGUUAGGGGAUCGAAGACGAUCAGAUACCGUCGUAGUCUUAACCAUAAACUAUGCCGA
rnacentral:rRNA from 2 species